UGGGGAAUAUUGGACAAUGGGCGAAAGCCUGAUCCAGCCAUGCCGCGUGUGUGAAGAAGGUCUUCGGAUUGUAAAGCACUUUAAGUUGGGAGGAAGGGCAGUUACCUAAUACGUGAUUGUUUUGACGUUACCGACAGACUAAGCACCGGCUAACUCUGUGCCAGCAGCCGCGGUAAUACAGAGGGUGCAAGCGUUAAUCGGAAUUACUGGGCGUAAAGCGCGCGUAGGUGGUUUGUUAAGUUGGAUGUGAAAUCCCCGGGCUCAACCUGGGAACUGCAUUCAAAACUGACUGACUAGAGUAUGGUAGAGGGUGGUGGAAUUUCCUGUGUAGCGGUGAAAUGCGUAGAUAUAGGAAGGAACACCAGUGGCGAAGGCGACCACCUGGACUAAUACUGACACUGAGGUGCGAAAGCGUGGGGAGCAAACA
rnacentral:rRNA from 1 species